rnacentral:tRNA from 1 species
GCUCAGUUGGUAGAGCGCAACCUUGCCAAGGUUGAGGUCGCGAGUUCGAGUCUCGUUUCCCGCUCCA